UUGAAAAUUAUUAAGAGCUUGCGGGGGAUGCCUUGGCGUCAAAAAGCGAUGAAGGAGGUGGUAAGCUGCCAUAAGCUUCGGGGAGUAGCAUACAUACUUUGAUCCGGAGAUUUCCGAAUGGGAAAACCCGCUGGUGUAACCAGAACUAGGGAGUGAAUACAUAGCUCCCUUAGAGCAAACGAGGGGAAGUGAAACAUCUCAGUACCCUCAGGAAAAGAAAUCAAAGAGAUUCCCUAAGUAGUGGCGAGCGAAAGGGGACUAGCCUAAACUUUUUAGAUGUUAAAGAUUCCAGUUGUUGUCUAAAAAGGGUCAUGGGACUUUUAAAAAUGUCUGGAAGCAUUUUAUGGAGUUACAAAAUAAGAUUUUAAUUUAAGGGUUUGGAAAGACCCGCCAAAGAAGGUGAUAGCCCUGUGAGUGAAAAAAUCUUAUCUCCAAAAAGUAUCCCGAGUACCAUCCAGCACGUGAAAUUGGUUGGGAAUUUGGGGAGACCACUCUCUAAGGCUAAAUAUUCUUUGGCGACCGAUAGCGAACUUAGUACUGUGAAGGAAAGGUGAAAAGAACCCCGUAAGGGGAGUGAAAUAGAACCUGAAACCGCAAGUUUACAAACAGUGGAAGCACUAUGUAUAUCAAGUGCAACCAUGUACCUUUUGCAUAAUGAGCCAGCGAGUUAUUGUCUUAAGCUUAGGUUAAGCCGAUAGAGGUGUAGCCAGAGCGAAAGCGAGUCUGAAUAGGGCGACUUUGUUUAAGGCAUUAGACCCGAAACCCAGUGAGCUAUUUAUGGCCAGGGUGAAGCGUGGGUAACACUGCGUGGAGGCCCGAACCAGUGAACGAUGCAACGUUCUUGGAUGAGCUGUGAAUAGGAGUGAAAGGCUAAUCAAACUGGGUGAUAGCUGGUUCUCCUCGAAAUAUAUUUAGGUAUAGCCUCGAAGCAUUUUAUCACGGAGGUAGAGCACUGAAUGGGCUAGGGGUCUUACCAGAUUACCAAACCCAACCAAACUACGAAUGCCGUUGAUAAUUAUUUCGGGAGUCAGUCAUGGGGUGAUAAGGUCCUGUGACGAAAGGGUAAGAGCCCAGACCAUCAGCUAAGGUCCCCAAAUCCAUACUAAGUGUGAAACGAUGUGAAGUUACUUGGACAACCAGGAGGUUGGCUUAGAAGCAGCAAUCCUUUAAAGAAAGCGUAAUAGCUCACUGGUCCAGUGAUUUUGUGCGGAAGAUGUAACGGGGCUAAGUAUGGUACCGAAGCUAUGGACUUAUUUUUAAUAAGUGGUAGAGGAGCUUUGUAGCUUAGGCUGAAGGCUGACCGUGAGGACAGCUGGACGAACUACAAGUGAUCAUGCUGGCAUAAGUAACGUAAUAACAGAGGUGAAAAACCUCUGCGCCGAAAACUCAAGGAUUCCUGGGCCAGGAUAAUCCUCCCAGGGUUAGUCGGGACCUAAGGCGAGAGCAUAAGCUGUAGUCGAUGGAAAAAGGGUUAAUAUUCCCUUACCGAUUUUUAUUUAUAACAAAGGAGUGACAAACUAAGUACUUCCAGCCUGUUAUUGGAUUCAGGUGUAAGCUUGCAAGGUGUGAGAUAGGCAAAUCCGUCUCAUAAACCUUAGGAGUAAAUGCGUGAAGACCUCGUCUUCUGAAGUGGAAGAAGCUAUGGUUUCUAGAAAAGCUUCGUUGUGUUUUAAAAAUUGCCCGUACCGGAAACCGACUCAGGUGAGUGGGAUGAGCAUUCUAAGGCGAUUGGGAUAAUUUUGGUUAAGGAACUCGCCAAAUUGGCACCGUAACUUCGGGAGAAGGUGUGCCUUUUCAAGUGUAGCCCCUGCGGGUGAAGCUAGGAAAGGUCGCAGUGACCAAGAAGUAGCGACUGUUUAUCAAAAACACAAGGCUGUGCAAAAUCCUAAGAUGAAGUAUACAGCCUGACGCCUGCCCGGUGCUGGAAGGUUAAGAGGAUUUGUUAACUUCGGUGAAGCAAAGAAUUGAAGCCCCAGUAAACGGCGGCCGUAACUAUAACGGUCCUAAGGUAGCGAAACUCCUUGUCGGGUAAAUUCCGACCUGCAUGAAUGGCGUAACGACUUCUUCAGUGUCUCAACCAAAUCCCCAGUGAAAUUGAACUCUCAGUGAAAAUGCUGAGUACCCGCGGAAAGACGAAAAGACCCCGUGAACCUUUACUCUAGCUUGGCAGUGAAUUUAGGAUGAAUAUGUGUAGGAUAGGUGGGAGACUUUGAAGCUGAGGUGCUAGCCUUAGUGGAGUCAUCCUUGAAAUACCACCCUUAUUGAUUUUGAAUUCUAACCUACGACCCUGACCGGGUUGAGGGACAUUGUCAGGUGGGGAGUUUGGCUGGGGUGGCCGCCUCCAAAAGAGUAACGGAGGUGUGCGAAGGUUCCCUCAGUCUGAUUGGAAACCAGACGCUGAGUGCAUUGGCAUAAGGGAGCUUAACUGCGAGACUUGCAAGUCGAGCAGAUGCGAAAGCAGGUCAAAGUGAUCCGGUGGUUCUGAGUGGAAGGGCCAUCGCUCAACGGAUAAAAGGUACUCCGGGGAUAACAGGCUGAUACCCCCCAAGAGUUCACAUCGACGGGGGUGUUUGGCACCUCGAUGUCGGCUCAUCUCAUCCUGGGGCUGAAGCAGGUCCCAAGGGUUUGGCUGUUCGCCAAUUAAAGAGGUACGCGAGCUGGGUUCAGAACGUCGUGAGACAGUUUGGAUUUUAUCUUCCGUGGGCGUAGGAAAAUUGAAGAGAGCUAUCCCUAGUACGAGAGGACCGGGAUGGACGAACCUCUGGUGAACCUGUUGUCACGCCAGUGGCACUGCAGGGUAGCUAUGUUCGGAAUGGAUAACCGCUGAAAGCAUCUAAGUGGGAAGCCAACUCUAAGAUAAGUUUUCCCAGUCUUUUAGACUGUUAAGACUGCUUCGAGACUAGGAGCUUGAUAGGCAGAACGUGUAAGCACAGUAAUGUGUUGAGCUUAUCUGUACUAAUAGGUCGUCAGAUUU
rnacentral:rRNA from 1 species